rnacentral:rRNA from 1 species
ACGCUGGCGGCAGGCCUAACACAUGCAAGUCGAGCGCACCUUCGGGUGAGCGGCGGACGGGUUAGUAACGCGUGGGAAUAUACCCAGUUCUAAGGAAUAGCCUCUGGAAACGGAGAGUAAUACCUUAUACGCCCCCCGAGGUAAAAUUUGGGGGGGAAAGAUUUAUCGGAAUUGGAUUAGCCCGCGUUAGAUUAGAUAGUUGGUGGGGUAAUGGCCUACCAAGUCUACCAUCUAUAGCUGGUUUGAGAGGAUGAUCAGCAACACUGGGACUGAGACACGGCCCAAACUCCUACGGGAGGCAGCAGUGGGGAAUCUUGGACAAUGGGCGCAAGCCUGAUCCAGCCAUGCCGCGUGAGUGAUGAAGGCCCUAGGGUCGUAAAACUCUUUCGCCAGGGAUGAUAAUGACAGUACCUGGUAAAGAAACCCCGGCUAACUCCGUGCCAGCAGCCGCGGUAAUACGGAGGGGGUUAGCGUUGUUCGGAAUUACUGGGCGUAAAGCGUACGUAGGCGGAUUARUAAGUAAGGGGUGAAAUCCCAGGGCUCAACCCUGGAACUGCCUYUUAAACUGCUAGUCUAGAGAUCGAGAGAGGUGAGUGGAAUUCCUAGUGUAGAGGUGAAAUUCGUAGAUAUUAGGAGGAACACCAGUGGCGAAGGCGGCUCACUGGCUCGAUACUGACGCUGAGGUAAGAAAGUGUGGGGAGCAAACAGGAUUAGAUACCCUGGUAGUCCACACCGUAAACGAUGAAUGCCAGUCGUCGGGUAGCAUGCUAUUCGGUGACACACCUAACGGAUUAAGCAUUCCGCCUGGG